rnacentral:rRNA from 1 species
GUUUAUUGCCUUUGCGUUGGUGCGUCCAUCGCCGCCUAGAGUUCCGAUGUCAAUUAAAUAGCCAUUUUCCCAAAAGAAUGCAUGCACAUCACCUUCAACGCUCAACCUUCCAAUCACUUGUCCAGAAUUGUUGAUUUCCCAAGAAAAUCCUCCUCCAUGAACGGAAUGCGGG